rnacentral:rRNA from 1 species
CCUACGGGGGGCUGCAGUGGGGAAUAUUGGACAAUGGGGGCAACCCUGAUCCAGCCAUGCCGCGUGUGUGAAGAAGGCCCUCGGGUUGUAAAGCACUUUCAGUGAGGAAGAACGCCUGGUGGUUAAUACCCAUCAGGAAAGACAUCACUCACAGAAGAAGCGCCGGCUAACUCCGUGCCAGCAGCCGCGGUAAUACGGAGGGUGCGAGCGUUAAUCGGAAUUACUGGGCGUAAAGCGCGCGUAGGUGGCUUGAUAAGCCGGUUGUGAAAGCCCCGGGCUCAACCUGGGAACGGCAUCCGGAACUGUCAAGCUAGAGUGCAGGAGAGGAAGGUAGAAUUCCCGGUGUAGCGGUGAAAUGCGUAGAGAUCGGGAGGAAUACCAGUGGCGAAGGCGGCCUUCUGGACUGACACUGACACUGAGGUGCGAAAGCGUGGGUAGCAAACAGGAUUAGAUACCCUAGUAGUC